UAGCGCUCGUCCCUAAUUCAAGCCAUAACAAAUUGACAAUGACAAAACAUGUAACAAAUUCUUCUAAAUCGCAAUCCGACAUAAGUAGAUGGCUUUUUUGAUGUUUCCAAAGCUAACCCACCCUGUGUUUGUUUUAUAUUCUCAUCCUCUUCUUAACUUAGACUCCCUAUGGCAUCAUCUGAACGGCAUAGAUUUUCCUCCCCUGCAUCAGUAAGCUAAAGGUUAUAACGUAUACAAAUAUCCAAUCACGCGAAAUAAGAUAACAGAAAGUCAAUAUGUACACUGACACAACUUCAAAUUGAAGCAUAUAUUUUGAAAACAAAUGUGGAUCAAACGAUCCACAAAAUAUAUAUUUAUCUUACCCGUUGCACACAAUAUCACAUAAGUUUAUGGUCUCAUCAACUGAGAAAUACAUAAGUAUUCUAAUAUCGUUUAAAAAAUUGUAAACAAACACAGCCUGGAGACAACAUCGACAUAAGCCGUAAUUAAACGAUCUUCUUAUGACAUAAAAA